GAUGAAGAACGUAGCGAAAUGCGAUACGUAAUGUGAAUUGCAGAAUUCAGUGAAUCAUCGAGUCUUUGAACGCACAUUGCGCCCCCUGGUAUUCCGGGGGGCAUGCCUGUCCGAGCGUCAUUGCUGCCCUCAAGCACGGCUUGUGUGUUGGGCCUCCGUCCUCCUCCCGGGGGACGGGCCCGGAAGGCAGCGGCGGCACCGCGUCCGGUCCUCGAGCGUAUGGGGCUUCGUCACCCGCUCUUGUAGGCCCGGCCGGCGCUUGCCGACACAUCAAUCUUUUUUCCAGGUUGACCUCGGAUCAGGUAGUGAUACCCGCUGAACUUAAGCAUAUCAAUAAGCGGAGGA
rnacentral:misc_RNA from 1 species